CCAGCAGCGGGCUCGGCGGCGGCGGCGGCGGCGACGGCUUCCCAUGGCCGGCGCACCCCCGCCAACAGUACUGAUCGACGGCAGCAAUGGCCGGCCUGCAUGGUUACUGUUCCAUUGGAGGGGAGACGACAUGAUCGAUCGAUCCAAGUGAUGCAAGAUCAGUGGCGCCAUUAAUUAGGUUAGUACAUAUGAUGAAGUGGUGAUUAGACUGCUCCUACUGCUGCUACUUAAUUUGUUGUGGUGAAAUAAUUAAGGUAAGGUGAUCUAUGAUGCUUGUGGUUUAAUUUGUACUUAUUUGAGCUAGCUAGCUAAUCUAGCUCGGAUGAUGAUGCAUGCGAUGUUUGGUGUUUCUGAUCGAUGUUGUUUUUUUUCUUGUUCUAAGUUAAUUUAGAGGUAAUUUGUCUGACAUUGUGCAAGUUGUGGUCUUUUCUAGCUCCUUUCCUUGGAAUUUGAUCUGUGCAACAUGUGCUUCUCAUACUUAAUAUAUAAGUUUCAGGAGAAAAGAUCAUUAAUUUCUCCCAUAGAUCUUAACUGCUACUGUACAUGUUCGAUCUAGCAGUGUGUUAGCAUAUAUAGUAUGUGUAGCUAGUAUCUGUUGGUCCCAAAUCUAGCACUGCUUCGAGCAAAUUUAUUAAUGUUCUUCUCUCUGUCUUCUCGAUCCCAUCUUUCGAAAUCUGAUGCAGAAUUUAGAUAAAUCCAGCAUGCAUGAUCUGAACUUCAAUUUGUUUGAAUGUUUCAAUGUAAGCGUGCAUAUGCUUAUUGUGUUUUUAGAUGCAUGAAAGCGCUAACAAGCAGCUUGAGUUUUCAGUAAACUUCAGUACUUUGCAUGAAAGCGUGCAGUACUCCAUGGUUUCAACUUUCAAGAUGUUUUUUUUCAAGUAAAAAGAUGAGAUAAUGUCGUCUAACUAGGACUAGUUUAGGGGAUUAAGGAGCUAGCUACGUACAUCUGUAUACUAAAUGCAAAUGCAUGGUAAAGGUGAAUACUGAAUGAGAUACUGAACUUUUUGGCAUGCACUAAAUGAAAUAAGUGGCGGAAAUGGGAUUUUCCCCACCUAUUUUUACAGGGGAUAAACAAAAAUAUGUAAUGUUCCAAAUCCACUGUAAUAUUCAUCGUAAUGUAAUCUUUGUAUUACAGUGGACUUAACCUGAAUUUUAUAGCCUUAAGGAUACAUGUGUAAGUUACAUGCAAGAAUACAUCUUGCAUGAAUAUGGUCCCAUAUGGGUAGAAUAGCAACUUGGCCAGUUCUAUACCAUAGAUCGUAGAUGUUAUUUGCAUUUGAUUGUUGGUCCCCAGAUAUCUUAGAGGUAUAUUCUUUCGUGGUGGUGUUUGUCGAGCGAGUUCCUUCCCGAGAAGGUCGAAUACCCCUCCUAUCAUCCUAGAGUCAAAUCUUUCUUACACUUCAACAGAACGAUCAUAAACACUUGCAACUUCAUAUAAAUUCCCCUCGGGGGCACAUAGCCAUACAUUUCACCUUGCUUAGUCAGUUGUCUUACACUUUGUCCCGAGGUCGUAUACCUGCACGUUUUCUCCUAGCAUGGUGGUUUGGCCGUUAUAGGGUGAGCUGAAGGACUAUACGCCAAUACACCGUAUGAUAGUCACCCUAUAAUUUUUUUUAUUUCUAUUUCUACCUGUAUAUGUAUUCGAGCACAAGGAAUUUUGUAAAUGUUGGUCACAAUUUGCUAUAGAAAUAAAUCAACAUAUACCUACAUCAAACAUCCAGCUAAAAAUUGAUGUUUGAAUUUUCAGUUCAGAUUUGUGUGUAAAUUAGUCCCAAAUUAAGCAAAACCUGAUACCUGGCUUUCCUCACUUGCAACUCCUUUUGGGAGAAUACAUAUUUUAUCCAUUUUUGCAAAUGCAUGAAGAGAUGAGGCAAUAUGUGUAUUACAUUUGUUUGUCUUAGAUCAGUCGAUCGGUCGAUCUUUUCAAGCACUAGCUAUUAAUUGAAGGAAAAUAUUGUAAAAUACUAGUGAAAUUUAUGAAUAUUUUGAAUCUAG
rnacentral:lncRNA from 1 species